GUGCCAGCAGCCGCGGUAAUACGUAGGUGGCAAGCGUUGUCCGGAUUUACUGGGCGUAAAGAGCGCGCAGGCGGUCGUGCAAGUCGAGUGUGAAAGCCCCCGGCUCAACUGGGGAGGGUCACUCGAAACUGCGCGACUCGAAGGCGGGAGAGGGAAGUGGAAUUCCCGGUGUAGUGGUGAAAUGCGUAGAUAUCGGGAGGAACACCAGUGGCGAAGGCGACUUCCUGGCCCGUUCUUGACGCUGAGGCGCGAAAGCUAGGGGAGCAAACGGGAUUAGAUACCCCGGUAGUCC
rnacentral:rRNA from 1 species